CGACACCGAAUUCUCCUUUUCUCCUUUCACACUAUUAUCUCCCGGAUAUUUUCUUCUCUCUCACCCCUAUAGUUUGGUAUACAAUUUGUUGUCUCGCCAUAUGAAACAAAUGCACCAGAUUCUUUGAAUUAUUAUGCAGAUUUUUAUCAUCAUUUUUCGCUUCCUCGUUUCUCUAAUUUUGCACGCUGUUUUCUGAAGGCGUUCUAAUCCCAUUUGCAUAAAUGCAUGUAAGUUUUUAAAUUAACUUCCAUUGAUUCUCUUGCUUUUCUAGAUUUCCUUUAUUGUUUCUUUUCAUCCGAUGCAUUUGUUGCUCUUGACUCUUUUCCUGAUUUCAUUCAUUGUUUCGGGAAAGAACUGUAAAAAGUAGUAAAGUGUUUUUUUUAACAUGUGCAUUCAGCAAUAUGUCUUGCCACUUUUUCAUCUUAACCCUCAUAACAUUAAUCUAGUUUUGUUUCUCUUCGAAGUCAUGGGCAGAUUCAAAGCCAGAGAAUUAGUGGUGCUCAUGUUAUGGAAUACUUGGUGUCACUUUAGUAAUAGAAGACAUGAUUUGUGGUAGCCGGGUAUCGUUUCUUCUUUCUAUAUGGAACUUUACCUUAUUCAGUUUUGUUUCUUCUCUUUUUUUGUUGCACUCUUUGAAUUAUAUAAUUUUUGUUAUAUAAUUUGUUGUCUUUCAUCUAGGCUUCUAACUUUGUUUUAUGUUUGUAUUUUAUGCAAUAUUUCUAGAUAAUAUGAUGAGUAAUCAUGCAUUUUUCUCUCCCUCUAAAUUAUUUGUACAUAGAUAUGUUAGAAAACCAACACAAGGGUAGUGGAUCAAAAGUAUAAAAUUAAGAUUUCGAACCUAUGUCCUUGUUUUAUGGGGAUUAAAUGUGACCUUGUGUAGUGAAUUUUAUCCUCUCUUUUGUAUAUUUUUCCCCAUCUAAGAAACUCUCUACAACAUCUAACUAAACAGAACUUUUUAGACACCUCCUAACACCCCCUACACAAGCAUUGAUGCAAAUACACGAAUUUAGAAGUGCCUGGACAUUUUAGUACCUAAACUAUUACAUGAUUCUAAUGAAAAAUGAUAGUUAAUGCAUGUGAAAAUCUAAAAUUAGUAUCUAUCAUCCCCUUUCAAUUCUGAAAAAUUUAAACAAUAUGGUUGUCUUGAAAAUAAAAAAUAUUUAUUUAUUUAUCUUUUAGUGUUGCAAAGAUAUCAGUCACUUUUGUUUAUGGGGUUCAUAACUUGAAAUUCGUAUGCUUAGUCCUUUGGGACAAAUUCAGAUUCAUGGUCAUGAGAAUGACUAAGAAGAAGUCACAAAAGAGAGUUGUAAGAGAGUCUUGGUCUUGUUGGCUUGUUGCAUGACUUUCCAAAUUGUUUUAGAUAAGCUAAAUUCACAAAGUCCAGCAAUCAAAGAGUGAUUCACGGUUGGUUAGAAAUAACUCCUAAUUCAACCAGGGAAGGAACUAAUGUGAUUAAGUUGGAGCGAUAAGCUUAGCUCUCAAUUAUGGAAUCCCCUAGUAAGAAUAUCUUUCUACUUGUUUUACUUCUCAUUUUGGGGACGACAAUAAAAGAUUUGACUGAAUGCCACUCACCAUCGUGAGGAUUUCAUUAUAUAGAAAAUUAUGAUAGCCUUACAUAAAAGUAUAUAUUCACAACCAUAUAUGGUAAAGCUAAUAAAGGAAAGCUAAUCUCUAUCAAUAAAUACAAUUGAUGUAAAAGAGAUAGGUCACCAACUUUCUUCACCUUUCGACGCUGAUCUAGCUUCAGCCCUCAUAUAUGUUCUUACGAGUUUACACAGUAGUACUCCCAAAAAUAGAUCUAGUGGAGACGAGGUAAGGACUAAGAUUUUAAUCAAAUAUGCCAAUUAUAGAAGUCAAAUAGAAUAUGCUAAUUAUGGAUUUUGCAAUCUAUCAAUUAUCAAUCUUGUAAUUUGUUAAUUAUUCUGCAAUCUGUCAAUUAUAAUCCGUCAAUUAUUGAUUCUACAUAUCUCAUUGAUAUCUCCCUUAAAUCGAUGUGACUUGAUCAAGAAGCAUUAAUUUGCUAUCAAGAAAUUGAGGUCGUGGUUGAGGUAAAGCUUUAGUGAAGACAUUGACAAUUUGAAGAUUCAUAGAGAUACAAGGAAGGUUAAGUAUUUUCUCGUCAUAAGCUUCAUGAAUAUAGUGACAAUCAACCUCUAUGUGUUUGGUGCAUUGAUGGGAAAUCAGAUUGGCAGCAAUUUGAAUAGCACUCUUGUUGUCUACAUAAAGAAGAGUAGGCUCCUUUCGAGAGAAACAAAGCUUUCUUAACAAACCAUAAAACCAAACAAUCUUGAAACAAACAGAGGAUAUGUCAAGAUACUUGGACUCAAUGGAAGACUUGGAAACUUGAGACUGUUUCUUAAUUUUCAAGAAAUAAGUGUAUUGACAAGAAACAUGCACCAACUAGUGACUAAACGUUGAUUAUUCGCACAAUCCGCCCAAUCAGCAUGAUAAUGAACCACCAAUUGAAUUGAUGAUGCAGGGAAAAAGUAAAGACCGUGAUUAGAAGUACCUUGUAGGUACCGAAAAGAAGAGUAGGCUCCUUUUGAGAGAAACAAAGCUUUCUUAACAAACCAUAAAACCAAACAAUCUUAAAACAAACAGAGGAUAUGGCAAGAUACUUGGACUCAAUGGAAGACUUGGAAACUUGAGACCGUUUCUUAAUUUUCAAGAAAUAAGUGUAUUGACAAGAAACAUGCACCAACUAGUGACUAAACGUUGAUUAUUCGCACAAUCCGCCCAAUCAACAUGAUAAUAAACCACCAAUUGAAUUGAUGAUGCAGGGAAAAAGUAAAGACCGUGAUUAGAAGUACCUUGUAGGUACCGAACAAUAAAACAAAGUGUAGUUAAGUGUGGACGACGAGGGGUUUCAGCAUAAACUGACUAACCUGUUGAACGACAAAGAUAUGUCGGCCUAUUUAUGGCAAAUAGUUCCGACUGUCGAUCAAUUGUCGAUAGAGAGACCUCAUCCUUACGAUGCUUCACAUUUAUCUCUAUGGGAAUUGCACAGGAUUCCCAUCCUGAAGACUUGCUAAUGUAAUCAAUUCCUGACUAUACUCAUGUUAAUGUAAGAAAUUACUUGCAAGAGUAGAUUUUACUUCAAGACCCAAGAAAUAUUGUAGUGAACCUAGAUCCUUUUUAUGAAAGGAGGCAUUGAUGUUGAAGCCGCGAAAUCAAUACAGUAUCGAUCCCUAUAAUAAUAUAUCUAUAUGAACCAAAAGCACCAUAAUUCCACCAAGUAUUACACAGAAACAAGAAUUAUACUGGCUCUGGACAAAGGAAAUAUCAAGGAAAGUAGAUUGGUACUUAUCAAACCAAGCUUGAGGAGCCCAUUUUGAACUAUAGAGACCUUUUUAACCAACACACAUCUGUUUGAGUAAUAAGCAAGCCUUGUGGUAAGAGUCAUAUAGAUCUCUUCGUUGAGAUCACCAUGCAAAAAGGCAUUUUGACAUCUAUCUACAGCAUAGGCCAACCUAGUAAGACACGUAUGGCUAAAAUAGUUCAUAUUGUAGUAAUUUUGGCUAAAUAAGCAGAAUCUCCUCUUAAUCUACCCUAUACUCUUGCCGAUUACCAAACGCCUCCAACUGUGCUUUAUACUUGUCUAAAGAACCAUCAGACUUUAGCUUGAUGGUGUAGACACAUUUACACCCAAUAGGCUUAACACUAAAUGAACAAAAACAAUAUCCUACAUAUGGUUCUUCUGUUAAGCUUGUAGCUCUUCAUCAAUAGCCUUUACCCAACUGGCUUGCAUAACUACAUAAGAGUAAGAAGUAGGCAUACUGAGGCUAAAGUUGCAUUAAGUGACGUGUGGGAAAAGCCAUACUUUUCAGGUGGAUGAAAAGGUAGGGAGGACUAUCAAGGAGUAGAAGCUUCAAGAACAGAUGCUAGACUAGGGUUGGAAAGGGGCUAUGAUAGAAGUGGAGGUUGUCGUUUUUGUUAAACAACACUUUGUUUAAAGUACUCAAUAAGGUGAGAUACAUCAUCAAAGUUAGGAAGCAUGGCCAGAUUAGAACUAGGAACAUGACUUUCAAGGAAAUAUUGAUUCUCAAAGAAGAUCACAUUUCUAGAAAUACGAAUGCCAUUAGUAGCAGCAUCAAAUGCAAUACCUUUUUUUAGACAUAUUGUAGCCUAUGAAAGUAUAUUGAACAGAUUGAAUAGCAAGUUUAUGACGUUGAUGAAGAGAUAGAUGAACAAAGCAAGCACGUCCAAAUGUAUGCAAGGUUUGAUAACUAGGAUGCAAACUAAACAAACGAUAAUAUGGUGGCUCAUAGUUUAAAAUUUGUUAUGGAAGACGAUUAAUCAAAUGGAUAACAAUGGACAAAGCUUCGACCUAAAACUUGGAAGGAAUAGAGGACUCUAAAAGCAAAGUUUGAACAUCUAAAGGAUGGUGAUUCUUACGUUUAGUCAUGCCGUCCUAUUGAGGUGUAUAAGGGCAAGAACGUUGAGAAAUGCUGCUUUUCUGCUACAAAAAAGGCUUGAAAAACAUGAGACAUAUAUUCACCACCAUCAUCAUACCUCCAAAUCUUAGUACAUGUGGAAAACUGGGUCUUAGGGUAGGUAACAAAGGUCAAAAAAGUAUUAAGUACCUCUCCCUUAGAAUGAAGGACAAGUAAAAUGGCUACAAUCAUCAAUAAAUGUCACAAAAUAUUUGCAAAGAGCACGUACAGAAAAUGGUGUAAUGCCCCAAACAUCACUAUGGAUAACAUUAAAAAAUUUUGUAGCAUGAGACACCAUGCAUAAGGGUGAAUUUUACCAAGUGUGCAAGGAGUACAAUUAAUAGACAAGUCAUGAGUGGGAAUUGGAUCUUUAUUACUCAGAAAGCCAUGCUCAAACAAAUAUUGUAAAAUCAAAGAAUUGGGAUGGCCUAAUUCGCUUGUGCCGAACCUCCCUUUGAUUGCUUACAGUAUUAGAAGACAAAGAUAUAACCCUAGGAAUAUAAAAUUGCAAAGGAAACUGCCUUCCCACUUUAGGCCCCUUCCGAUCACCUUUCCUGACUUCUAAUCGCACAAAACCACCACCACGAGAGAAGGAAACGUUACAAUAAUUAUUCACUAGCUGUCCAACUGAAAUCAAAUUAGCAUAUUAGUUAGGAGAAACAAAAUCAGUUUGGAAGGAAGGGUUAAUAUUACCAACAACAUUAAUGGGUCGGGGAUUCCCGUUUGAAAUUUGAAUUUAUUGAGGACAAUUAUAACUCCGAACGUUAAGAAAUGAUCCAGAUUGACCAGUCGUGAUUGGAAGCUCUUGAAUCAACAAACCAAGUAGAUGUGAAUGAGACCGUCUUACCAUUACCUUGAAGGCAAAAUGCCAAAAAAGCUAAGAUAAUCAUCUGUUGGACCAUCUCAGGAGAGGGGACAACUUAACUAGCAAAGCUACAAUAGAUGUAGAUUGUGCCAUGGGUUUAGCUUGGACAGUAGCUUGAAAAGGCAUGUGCUUACUGAUUUUAAAGACGAAUGAGGCAUGCUUUGAUGAUAUGCCUCGAUUUCUUGCAAUAAUUACAAUAUGGCCUUGAGUAGUUGGUGGCAAUAUGGAUUUGACCUUUUCCUCUUCCUCCUUGGGCUACAUAGGCGACAUUCACUAUCUUAAAAUAUGGCCUCUCUUGUCCCAUUCUUGCAUGAGUAGUCAAUCUCUGUUCUUCCUGCGACAACUCUGCAAGGCAAACAUCAAUUUCAAUUUAAUAACCUAGCUCGUGUAGCCUCAUAUUUUGCCUUCAAUUUCAUCAUAAAUUAAUCACAUCUACCUCCUCAUAGAUUGUCUGAAGUGCAGACAGCGCCACUUUAGGUACCUUGGCAUGUAAAUUUUCAAAAAUCUGCUCUGCAAGUUCAAGAAACUGGCAUAAUAUUGUUCUAUAAAAAGAUGACCUUGAUUUAUAUUUACUAUCUCCAAUUUCAACUGAAACUACAUGCAUUGUUAUCUUGAUUAUGUAUUCGGCCUAGAUAUUUCCACAUCUCUUUAGUAGUAGAAGACCAAGUCGUUCACCAAAUGUGGUUCUAUGGAGCCUAACAGCCGAAAGACAAUGCGUACAUCGUUUGCUUCCCAUGUAUUAAGUUUCUUGGUGUCAUUGGGGUUGAAGAUGUCCCAUCAAUAUGCCCCGAACUCCUUUCCUUUCACAAACAUCUUAAACUGAAACCCUUAACUAUGAUAGUUCUUACAUUGAAAAGAAUAAUAGUAUUUUCACUGGACAUCGUGAAAACAAAAAUAACUAAAAAAAUGACCGUAAAAGAGCUUAGGAACUAAUUAACAACGAAGAGUAAUCGCGGUAAUAAGAGGGUAUUUGGUCAUUUAUGCAAUUACUAAAGUGAAGGGACCUAUUGGAAUAUAUGGCCAAUUGGCAUCCUUAUUGAUUUAUUAAGGAGUUUUCAUUUGUAUCUACUCAUUUAUAUAACAACCUAUAGAAAUCCUUAGUAUGCUUGAGUCUUUAGCUUGAGUUAAAGCUAUAGUUGCUUUAUAGAACAAACUUGGAGAGAGGAAAGUCUUACUUUUGUAGUCCACUAUUUAUCUUUUGGAAAUAGAGUAGGGGGUUAUAUAGCUGAUCUCUUGAAUUAAUUCUCCUUGAGGGAGAUAGGGGGUCCUUUUCAAUGUUAAUGACAUAUACUCUACUUAAGUUAAUGAUAAAGAAAUUAUCUUUUGAAUCUUUGAUGACUAUAUUAUGAUUUCCUUUCCAAUAGAUAAUGAAUAACCAGGUGUUCUUUUCUUGUCAAAUUGCUAGCUUUGAAACCUAUCUUCUUGUUUCUGUCCAUUUCCAUAGAAAUUAUGAUGGUACUCGGUUCCUUCCUCACAUAUCUUAGAAUCCUUUUUGCAAUUUUGCAAAAAAAAUAAAAAAUAAAAAUUGAUUGACGCGCGAAUGCGGAAAACUGAUUCUUGAUCAAUAAAUUUAUUGGUUCUUAAAAAAACUAUUAUCAGACGAAAAGAAUUGGAAAAAAUUCUAGUUCUGUUAUUUCUUAUUCGAUGAUCAAUGGAUUACAAUGACUAACGACUUUAGCUUUUGAACAUAUUAUUAGGAAGUUCAAAAUUCAAGAAGUUUGAAGGACAAGGACAACAAGAUAAAAGACAAUAGAAUUCUUUAAAUAAAUUAAAAGGGAACAUAGAGACAUAAAUCAACUUAAAGAAUGUUGGAACGUGUAAAUUAGUCAUUAUUGUACCGAGAUCUUGUGACUUGUCAUUGGUUCAAAAUAUGAUUUCGUUUCUUAAAGAAAAUGAACAAUCAAAUGUGUUUUUUUAUUUUUAUUUAUUUAUUUUUUCCCUCUCUAGAACUGGUUUGAUACCAAUUAUUGAAAUCAAUCAACUUAUUGUCUUUGUUCUUUACGGAUAGAGUUUCAUAGGUCUUAGUUCCUUUCAAUAUCUUAAUUUUUACGCUGUUGUAAAAUGAAAUUUGUUAGACGCACACUAAGCCUUGGGAUUAUGUUUACAACACGAGUUAAAUGAGUCACUUCACAAGUUUUAUAUAGUCUUAUUAAUAUUCCUUUUACAAUUAUUUGUUCCGAGUCUUUCAUUCAGAUCCUAUACACGUGGGUUUCCAUACAGACAUAUGGAACUUUUUAUAAAUUUGUGAAAUCCUUUUCUUGAGAAUAUGGAGCUGUGGUUCUUGCUUCACUUGAAUGCAUAGACAAUAUCUCAAUACCCCAAUUGUGUCAUCUUAAACUGGUGCUUCCAUCACGACUUCUACAAUAUCUCAUAUAGUUUCCUGAUUGGUUCUGAUAUAAUUAAGAUCAUCAAUUUAGGUACACACAAAUCAUGAGCAUUUUGGGUUUUAACACGGGAUUGAUUAGUAUGAUUUCUUCGAAAACCAAAAUUCUCAACAUUUUUUUGUUUAUUUUAAUCUUGCAAUGCUUGCUUCAAGCCAUACAAAACCAUUUCAUUCCUUAGGGGUUGAGAAUAUCGUUUCACUACUAGUGUGGCCUUCUCCUUUUGUAUGAGCCAUCUUCGUCAAGUUUGAUUUUAAAAAACCUAUAUUUAGCUUCUUUUUUUUUAUCCUUUGGAUUGUUCAUAAGUUGCCGUGUCUAAUUUAUGUAUCAUUUUAGUCUACUCAUUCAUGGCCUUUUGCAAAUAUCAUUUUAGGUUUUCUUAAAGCAUUUAUCCAUAAUCUAGGUAUAGGUAGCAAUCCAUUCUGUAAUUCUUCUCAUUACCUCUCGUGGGGAAAUGAUCACACAAAGAAAAGAAUUGUACAGCAUAAGAUAUAAAAGCAAAAUUGUAUUUAUAAACUUUUUACGAAGUUUUGAAGCAUGUCUAUUAAGUGUUUAUAAACAGUUUAAUUUAUAACUAGAUAGAAAUGAGUGGUAGAUAAGUGUAUAAUACUUGUUGUGGAAAAUCGAGUAAUUGCAGGAGAUUGGGAAUUAUUUUAGAAUAAUUGCUGUACCAUAUUUAAGUAUUUCCAUAAUUAGGUAGAAUUAUUAGUUUUCCUUGUUUAAGAGAUUAUUUCCCUUAUGUCCUUUCACUCGUUUGUAUAUAAAUACAAGAAUUUAAUGAUGAAUAAAAUAAAAUUCACACAAAAAAUUGUGUGAUUCAUCAUAUUCUUCAUGGUAUCAGAGCUCCGGGUUAAUUAUCCUAGCAACCCAUGACAAAAAAUAAUAAGGAUUCCUCCACCAUAGAAGUUUUCAGAGUGAAACGGAGGUCAUAUCUCGUAUGGGUUCCAACGACACUGAAAAUUCUUCCUUUCAACUCACUGUUGAAAAACUGAAUGGAAGAAAUUUUCGAGAGGGGCCCAGUCUAUAAAAUUAAUAGUCGAAGGCAAGGGAAAAAUCAGUUACCUCACUGGUAAGAGCAAGAAAUCAAUAGAUGCAGCGCUUCUUCAAAAAUGGAAAUCGGAGAAUUCGCUGAUAACUACCUGGCUCGUUAAUUCCAUGAUACUGUCCAUAUGUAAAACUUACCUAUUCCUACCAACAGCUAAAGAAGCUUGGGAGGCAGUAAAGGAGACAUUUUGAUGGAGAAAACUCCGCACAAAUUUUUGAAAUAAAGACUCGAUUGUGGCAAACCAAGCAAGGUGAGAGAGAGGUCAUGGAUUAUUUCCUUGAAAUGACUAACCUAUGGCAAACUAAGCAUUGGUGACAGUGUUCGCUACAGGAAACAGGUCGAGAACAAAAAGGUUUUCGAAUUUCUCGCAGGCCUCAAUCGCGAGUUGGAUGAUGUCAGGAGUAGAAUAUUGAGCUGGCGACCAUUACCUACCACAUGAGAAGUGUUUGCCAAGGUUAGCAGGGAAGAAAAUCGUUGAAAAGUGAUGUUAAAGGCUUGCGACGAAGACACUAUAGUGGAAACAGCUAUGAUUUCGAAGAAUGGACUAAGGAGGCUGAGAUGGUAUGAAAAUUUCAAUGGACAGAAGGGUAGAAAUGGGCCAGACGGGUCGGUUCAAAACAAAAAAGGUGGAUGGUUGAGAAGUUGCAUAAUGGGCCAGGUCCGUCUUCAAUAAAGGGACGUCCAUGGUACGAACACUGUCGUAAACCAGGACUCAAGGAAGAUACAUAUUGGGAUCUACACAGGAAGCCCAACGAUUGGAAACUAAGACAAAUUCUAAAAAUCGAGGAUAUCAAGCAUCAAUUGAUCCUUUUGAAAGUCCCAACGAAAAUAAUUCUACUACAGGAGGUGCAUUUAAUUCAGAACAACUGGAACAGUUGUAUCAAAUUUUCUCCGGUCUCCAAAAUUCAAGUUGUCAUUCCACCCACAACUCGUCAAGUUCACUUGCUCAUAAAGGUAACUAUCGAAGAGCUUUGACUACCUCUUCAAAGUACAAAGGUCCAUGGAUUAUUGAUUCAGGUGCGUCCGAUCACAUGAUGGACUCCUACCACCUCUUCUCUACAUAUACACCAUGUGUUGGUAAUAUUAAAGUCAAAAUUGCGGAUGUGUCACUUUCAACUAUUGCAGGAAAAGGGAGUAUCCAAAUAUCUGAAUCUGUUACACUAAACUUAGUACUACAUGUUCCCAAUUUAUCUUGUAACCUAUUAUCUGUUAGUCAGUUGACGAAAACAUCUAAUUGUUUUGCUGAAUUUUUCCAUCCUAUUGUGGCUUUCAGGAACUAUCAUCGAGGAAAACGAUUGGUAGUGCUAGAGAGUAUGUGGAUCUCUAUUACUUCGAGGAAGCAGAUGUGAGUAAGCCAAGUCAAAUUGCAAUUUGUGAUUCUGCAUAUACCUCUAGGGAUAGUGAAGUUUUAUUAUGGCAUUAUGGAAUGGGUCAUCCUAAUAUGCAUUACCUAAAACGUGUACUUCCAAAUUCCAUAUUUUCGAAUAAAACUAACUUUGAACUUCAAUGUGAAAUCUGUGAACUAGCAAAGCAUCAACGUAGUGUAUUUCCAAAUUCCAUAUACAAGCCAUCUCUACCAUUCACUACAAUCUUAAGCGAUUUAUGGGGACCUUCACGAAUACCCAAUCGCACGUGUCGACACUGAACAACGAAAUAUGGGAUAGUCCAUCAAAGCUCACGUGUCGACACUGGCCAAAGAAACAGGGUAGCUGAACGGAAAAAUAGACACCUCUUUGAAGUUACUUGUGCCUUAGUGUUCACUACAAAUGUCAAAAUUCAAUUGGGGAGACGCUAUUCUAAGAUCUACUUACCUUAUCAAUUGAAUGCCUAGUCGCACACUUUACUUUAAAUCACCCCUCCAAAUAUUUCAGAAACUUUUCCCUACCUCAUGUCUACACUCUAACCCGCCUCUAAGGGUCUUCGGUUGCACAGCAUUUGUCCGUGUGCAUGGUCACAAUCGAAAUAAACUAGAACCUCGUGCGAGCAAAUGUGUAUUCAUUGGGUAUUCUUCUACUCAUAAAGGCUACAAAUGUUAUAAUGCAACCACAAAAGGUUAUUUGUAAAUUGUGAUGUCACAUUCUUUGAAAAAACACAUCGGUUCAUAGAUUUUGAUCUCUCCCCUACCUCAACAAAACAAGAAACCACCACUCCAUCAAACUCCGAUAUGCCAUCUAUAGAGUAAAACUUGAACUCAGGGAGAGAUGCAGGAGAACAAAGAAACAAGAAGAUAUUGGUUUACUUAAGGAAGCCUAAAUCAAAGGAGAACUUAUACCGGACGCAUCAAGAGUUGAAAUCGAUGAUAGCUCUAGAAUCCCAUGAGUGAAUAACCUGAUAUCAACCUAUCCACUGCACUCAGAAAAAAUUUCGAUAAUGUACUCUUCAUCCCAUCUCAAAAUUCAUAUCCUAUAAUGCUUUAUCUACAAAAUUUCGUGCGUUUACAGCUAACCUUGACAGUACAGCAAUUCCUAGAAACAUUCAGGAAGCUUUAAAAAUUCCUAAUUGGAGAAAAGUAGUGAUGGAAGAAAUGCAAGCUUUGCAAAAAAAUGAAACUUGGGAAGUGGAUCUAACGAGAGGAAAAAGACCCGUAUGAUGCAAAUUGGUGUUCACUGUGAAAUAUAAAGUAGAUGGGUCAAUAGAAAGAUGUCAAACUUGCCUUGUGGCAAAGGGAUACAUACAAACAUAGGGCAUAGAUUAUACAGAAACAUUUGCACUGGUAGCUAAGCUAAAUACAAUAUAGGUUCUUCUAUCUUUAGCAGCCAACUUAGACUGGCCGUUUCAGCAACUUGACAUAAAAAAUGCAUUUCUAAAUAGAGAAUUAGAAGAAAUUUUCAUGACACUACCACCAGGCUUCUCUUACAAGAAGAAAAUUGAGUCUGUAAGCUCAAAAAGUCUCUAUAUGGCCUUAACUAGUCACCAAGGGCGUGGUUCGAUCGAUUUGCUAAGGUACUAAAAGGGUAGGGAUAUCAACAAGGACAGUUUGAUCACAUUAUAUUCUUUCAAAAGUCGAAAAGCAGAAGGAAAACAAUCUUAAUUGUAUACGUCGACGAUAUAAUCUUUGACCAGAGAUAACAUAGUUGAAAUGGAAAGACUAAAAAACAACUCACAGUUAAAUUUGAGGUAAAAGACCUAGGACAGAUGCGAUAUUUUCUGGAAAUGGAAGUUGUGAGAUCAAAAAGGGGUAUCAAUGUUUCACAACGGAAAUACAUUCAUGAUCUCCUAUCACAAACUGGUAUGCUUGGAUGUAAACCAAGCAACACACCAAUUGAUGCAGGAAGAGAUGGAAAACAUUGAAGAAUCAGUUGAGAAAGAAAGAUAUCUAUUUGUCUCAUACUAGGCCACAUAUUGCAUUUGCAGUAAGUGUGGUAAAUCAACAUAUACACUCACCAAAGGGAACACAUAUGGAAGCAGUGUAUAAAAUACUUAGGUAUCUAAAAGGUUCUUCAAGAAAAGGACUAUUUUCAAGAAAAAUGAGAGUAAAGGAGGAGGCAUUUACUGAUGCUGAUUGGGCUGGUCUUGCAGAAGAUAGGAGAUCAACAACUGGUUAUUGUAGCUAUGUAUGGGGUCACUUUGUGACUUGGAGAAGCAAGAAACAAAAUUUUGUAGCAAGGAGCAGUGCAGAAGCUGAAUUUAGAGCAGUGGCCUAAGGAAUCUAUGAAGGACUGUUGUUAAAGAAACUUUUGGAAGAAUUACAAGUUUGUGUAAAACUUCCAAUCAAACUUUACUACGACAACAAGGCAGCAAUCAAUAUCUCACUGAAUCCAGUAAAUACAAUCGAACCAAGCAUGUAAAAGUGGACAGGCACUUUAUUAAAGAAAAAGUCGAAAAUGGAGUGAUUUGCAUGACUUAUGUCCCUACAAAGGAGCAAAUAGCAGAUAUUUUCACCAAAGGACUACCUCGACAGAUUUUUGACGAAUUCGUUCGCAAGUUGGAUAUGAUCAAUAUCUACUAUCCAACUUGAGGGGAGUGGAAAAUCAAGUAAUUGUAGGGGAUUAGGAAGUAUUUUAGAAUAAUUGUUGUACCAUAUUUAAUUAUUUCCAUAAUUAGAUAGAAUUAUUAGUUUUCUUUGUUUAAGAGAUUAUUUUCCUUAUUUCCUUCCACUCGUUUGAAUAUAAAUACAUGAUUCAAUAAUGAAUAAAAUAAAAUUCACACAGAAAUUCGUGUGAUUCAUCAUAUUCUUCACUUGCGUAUCCCUCGAAAUGUAUGGAUAAAAAGUGAUUGAAUGUUUAUUUUACGUAGAUAAAAAGCAACUGGAAUGUAACAGUUUAUAAACAUGAGCCAAACAUAGGCUUAGUCCUUCAGGAGUAGAAUUUGCUAUUGACGAAAUGGAAGNAUACACUCACCAAAGGGAACACAUAUGGAAGCAGUGUAUAAAAUACUUAGGUAUCUAAAAGGUUCUUCAAGAAAAGGACUAUUUUCAAGAAAAAUGAGAGUAAAGGAGGAGGCAUUUACUGAUGCUAAUUGGGCUGGUCUUGCAGAAGAUAGGAGAUCAACAACUGGUUAUUGUAGCUAUGUAUGGGGUCACUUAGUGACUUGGAGAAGCAAGAAACAAAAUUUUGUAGCAAGGAGCAGUGCAGAAGCUGAAUUUAGAGCAGUUAGGGAUGGCAAUCGGGCUCGCCGGCUCGGGCCGCCCGUGGCUCGGCUCGGGAAAAGCCCGAGCCGGCUCGGCUCGGGGCUCGGUAGACCCGAGCCUAAGCUCGGGCCGAGCCCCAUUUUGGGGACACGGGCUUUGCCCGAGCCGGCCCGUGAGCUCGCGAGCUUUUUAAUUAAAAAAAAAAAAAAAAAAAAAAUUUAAGGCAAAACAGGUAGCAGUUCGCUGCCUUAAUAUAAGGCAGCAGCCUUAAAAGGCAGCAAGCUGCUGCCUUAUAUUAAGGCAGCCAGCUGCUGCCUUAUAUUAAGGCAGCAGCUUGCUGCCUUUAAAAGGCAGCAGUCGUUGCCUUCAAGGCAGCAGGAGGGAAGAACCAUAAAAAAAAAAAUUAAAUUGGGGAGAAAAUGAGCCUGCCCGGCUCGGCCCGUAAAAAGCCCGAGCAAAAGCUCGGGCCGAGCCCUUUUUUUUUGGCCGAGCUUUUGCUCGGCCCGGCUCGAGCCCGCAAAAAGCUCGGUCAUUUUAACCGGGCCGAGCCCGAGCCGAAAUUUUAGGCUCGCGAGCCGGGCCGAGCCGGCUCGUUUACAUCCCUAAGAGCAAUGGCCUAAGGAAUCUAUGAAGGACUGUUGUUAAAGAAACUUUUGGAAGAAUUACAAGUUUGUGUAAAACUUCCAAUCAAACUUUACUACGACAACAAGGCAGCAAUCAAUAUCUCACUGAAUCCAGUAAAUACAAUCGAACCAAGCAUGUAAAAGUGGACAGGCACUUUAUUAAAGAAAAAGUCGAAAAUGGAGUGAUUUGCAUGACUUAUGUCCCUACAAAGGAGCAAAUAGCAGAUAUUUUCACCAAAGGACUACCUCGACAGAUUUUUGACGAAUUCGUUCGCAAGUUGGAUAUGAUCAAUAUCUACUAUCCAACUUGAGGGGAGUGGAAAAUCAAGUAAUUGUAGGGGAUUAGGAAGUAUUUUAGAAUAAUUGUUGUACCAUAUUUAAUUAUUUCCAUAAUUAGAUAGAAUUAUUAGUUUUCUUUGUUUAAGAGAUUAUUUUCCUUAUUUCCUUCCACUCGUUUGAAUAUAAAUACAUGAUUCAAUAAUGAAUAAAAUAAAAUUCACACAGAAAUUCGUGUGAUUCAUCAUAUUCUUCACUUGCGUAUCCCUCGAAAUGUAUGGAUAAAAAGUGAUUGAAUGUUUAUUUUACGUAGAUAAAAAGCAACUGGAAUGUAACAGUUUAUAAACAUGAGCCAAACAUAGGCUUAGUCCUUCAGGAGUAGAAUUUGCUAUUGACGAAAUGGAAGAUCUGUGGUUUAAAUAUACAAAAUUUGAACUUGCAUGUUUUACUAGGGUUACAUAUCACUAUUUUAUAUCUGCAAGUUUUUCAAAUAUGAGAUAGACACGUGUUCUAUCUUUGCUACAUGUUUAGGCAUUCGUUUCAUGAAAGAUUUCAUUUUAGAUAUCAACUGUAUCGAUAGUAGGCCUUCGAUUCACAACUAUAAUAGAAAAAGGCACUUUGUUCUUUCACCUCAAGUUUUUCUAGUUUAUGCAAAUAACAUAAUGGAUAUUGAAAAAUUUUCGAAGUCAUUUUAAACCCUUUUUGUAGGAGAUCAAUUAAAGUGUUAAGCAGUUUUAUUAACAAUCUCUACCAUUUUUUUUAGAAAGUACUGCGUUGAUGCUUCUAUAUUUUAUUUCAACGACCUUUUCUAUUUAAGGCUUCUUCAAGCUAAUGAUUAUCUUUCAAUUUAUUUUCUUUGCAUUAAAUCUAGAAUUGCUCUUAGAAAAAUUCAACACCAUAAUCUAUUGUUAAAAAAUUUAAUUGAUGAUUGUUUUUUAUUUAGCAUAGGCCGUUGAGCCAAAAAAUUACAGGAAAGCUUUUAACUGUCGUUGAAGAAAACACCAUAAUUCUUCUAUAGUAAUCAACAAUAGAAGAACAUGCUGGUAUGUUUAUUUUGUUGUGGCGUUCUAAGUACAAAGAUAUGCAUGGAUAAUUUACGAUGAAGCUUUCAUUUUCUUGGCUGAAUUUGGGAAAGGAAAUCAUGCAACUUGCCAUAAACAAAUUCUUGACAAAAAAUUCCUCUAAACAUCGAUAGCUUACAUGUCCAUAUUUGUGAUAUCGUAGUAUUGAUUGGUUUUAAAGUUUCAAUUCUUAAAGAAUAAUCUUCUUUGAACAACAACUUUGGAAACGUCUUGUUGGGAGCCAUUAUAAUUGUUGCAAUGAACUUAUUGGUGAUGCUAACAUUGAAAAAAUGGUUAGUUUAACAUGUUUUAUUCCGAAGUUAAUUUAUCUUAUUUUAUUUACCAAGGAAAAGUAAUUAUAAGUUUCCAUUUACAAUUUUAGGUUUUUUUAGCAUAAAUUAGGGCUCAGGUUUCAUGAUAGCCUUGGUUGUUUUUGAAUUAUUGAAAAUUUUCUAUUUUAAUCAGUAUAUGAAAAUUCAAAUCAACAAAUUCAAAUGCUCAAUAUUCAUAUGCAAAUCUAUGAAUCUUUGAUGUCUAUUUUUUUUUUUUUUUUUUUUUUUGCAUUAUUUGAAAUCAAUAGAAACUAGAAGGUCAAAUGUGUUGUACAAGGUUUCGAUCUUAUUGGCAAAGCUAUUACUUCCACCCAUUUAGACAUGCUAUCCACUAUCAAGAUAUAUUGAUUCCCAAACAAUGGUGAAAAUGGUUCCAUGAACUUGAUACCCAAACAUCGAAUAACUAAACCUCAAGAAUGCUAUUUAGAAAUAUUUCAUUCUUCCGUGAGCUAUUUUAUGUCUUUCGGCAUCGUUCACACUUUUGAAAUCAUAUGUAUCCUGAAAUAAUAUAGGAGAAUAGAACUUUCGGUAAGAUUUUCUCGUUGGCCUUGGAUGCUCUAAAAUGCCUUGCAUGAUUCAAUGAAUGAUAGUAAGCUAAAAUCUGAUCCAUUUUUCCCUCCGACACGUAACGCCGAAUAAUCUAAUCUAGAAUUCGCUUGUAAAGAAUAGGAUCUUCCAAGAAGUAAUGCUUGAUGUUGCUAAAUAAGUCUUUUUUCUAAUGACUUGUGUAAUGCGGUUAUUGGCCAAAUAAUUUACAAAACUUGCAUGCAACGAGGUAGUUUUUAGCUGAAGAAGUAUCAUCUAAAUUACGAGGUAGCUUUUAGCUGAAGAAGUAUCAUCUAGGAAAACGUCAUUUACUUCAUCUGGCUCUACCAAUUUAAACUGAGAGAGAUGGCGAUACCAAAUUUUCNAUUUUUUUUAGAAAGUACUGCGUUGAUGCUUCUAUAUUUUUAUUUCAACGACCUUUUCUAUUUAAGGCUUCUUCAAGCUAAUGAUUAUCUUUCAAUUUAUUUUCUUUGCAUUAAAUCUAGAAUUGCUCUUAGAAAAAUUCAACACCAUAAUCUAUUGUUAAAAAAUUUAAUUGAUGAUUGUUUUUUAUUUAGCAUAGGCCGUUGAGCCAAAAAAUUACAGGAAAGCUUUUAACUGUCGUUGAAGAAAACACCAUAAUUCUUCUAUAGUAAUCAACAAUAGAAGAACAUGCUGGUAUGUUUAUUUUGUUGUGGCGUUCUAAGUACAAAGAUAUGCAUGGAUAAUUUACGAUGAAGCUUUCAUUUUCUUGGCUGAAUUUGGGAAAGGAAAUCAUGCAACUUGCCAUAAACAAAUUCUUGACAAAAAAUUCCUCUGAACAUCGAUAGCUUACAUGUCCAUAUUUGUGAUAUCGUAGUAUUGAUUGGUUUUAAAAUUUCAAUUCUUAAAGAAUAAUCUUCUUUGUACAACAACUUUGGAAACGUCUUGUUGGGAGCCAUUAUAAUUGUUGCAAUGAACUUAUUGGUGAUGCUAACAUUGAAAAAAUGGUUAGUUUAACAUGUUUUAUUCCGAAGUUAAUUUAUCUUAUUUUAUUUACCAAGGAAAAGUAAUUAUAAGUUUCCAUUUACAAUUUUAGGUUUUUUCUAGCAUAAAUUAGGGCUCAGGUUUCAUGAUAGCCUUGGUUGUUUUUGAAUUAUUGAAAAUUUUCUAUUUCAAUUAGUAUAUGAAAAUUCAAAUCAACAAAUUCAAAUGCUCAGUAUUCGAAUGUAAAUCUACGAAUCUUUGAUGUCUAUUUUCUUUUUUUUUUCUUUUUUUUCUUUUUUGCAUUAUUUGAAAUCAAUAGAAACUAGAAGGUCAAAUGUGUUGUACAAGGUUUCGAUCUUAUUGGCAAAGCUAUUGCUUCCACCCAUUUAGACAUGCUAUCCACUAUCAAGAUAUAUUGAUUCCCAAACAAUGGUGAAAAUGGUUCCAUGAACUUGAUACCCAAACAUCGAAUAACUAAACCUCAAGAAUGCUAUUUAGAAAUAUUUCAUUCUUCCGUGAGCUAUUUUAUGUCUUUCGGCAUCGUUCACACUUUUGAAAUCAUAUGUAUCCUGAAAUAAUAUAGGAGAAUAGAACUUUCGGUAAGAUUUUCUCGUUGGCCUUGGAUGCUCUAAAAUGCCUUGCAUGAUUCAAUGAAUGAUAGUAAGCUAAAAUCUGAUCCAUUUUUCCCUCCGACACGUAACGCCGAAUAAUCUAAUCUAGAAUUCGCUUGUAAAGAAUAGGAUCUUCCAAGAAGUAAUGCUUGAUGUUGCUAAAUAAGUCUUUUUUCUAAUGACUUGUAUAAUGCGGUUAUUGGCCAAAUAAUUUACAAAACUUGCAUGCAACGAGGUAGUUUUUAGCUGAAGAAGUAUCAUCUAAAUUACGAGGUAGCUUUUAGCUGAAGAAGUAUCAUCUAGGAAAACGUCAUUUACUUCAUCUGGCUCUACCAAUUUAAACUGAGAGAGAUGGCGAUACCAAAUUUUCAUAUCCUUUCUUAUCCCAAAUUUCGAGAUCAAACUCUUGCAAAAAAGGAUUCAUCGAAUAAGCCGCAACUUCACAUGAAACUAGAUAUUUCAAGCUGGAAUGAUCUGUAUAAACAAUCAUCUUGAAUCCAAAUAGAUAUAAAUGUAAUUUGCGAAAGGUGAAGACCAUUCCUAGAAGUUUCUUCUCAGUGGUAGCAUAGUCAAAUGUGUUUGAAUGAGUCCCUUGGGCAUAAUAAAUCACUUAAGAUAUGUCGUUUUUGCAUUGACCUAAUAUUGUCCUACUUGCAUAAUUGUUAGCAUCACACAUGAGCUCAAAGGUAGACUCCAAUUUGGUGCAACUAGAAUUGGUGCUAAUGUUUUCUUCAAAGUGUAGACUUCUCGAAAAAUUGAAAGGGGUAUCUUUGUUAAGUAGAUUGUACAAUGGCUUGGUGAUUUUGGACUUUUCCAAAAUCAGUGAACCUUACAUGUCCUAUGGAACUCUGAAUGCCCUUAAUUGAUGUUGGUGGAGAAAGUUUCUCGAUCACAUGUAUCUUAUCUAUGUCAACCUCUGUACCUUGGACAAAAUGUAAUGUCCUAACAUAAUUCCCUUUUGAACAAUGAAUUAAUAAUUUUCCAGUUCAUUACAAGGUUAGUUUCUCUACAUCCCUGCAAGGAUGAGCUCAAGUGCUUCAAGCACUAUUGAACGAUGACAUAAACAUCAAGAAAUCAUCCAUGAAUACUUAUGUAUAAUUCUACACCAUGAUUGAGAAAAUAGAUAUCAUACAAUGCUAAAAUGUAAUUGCAUGUGCAUAAUCUAAAUGACAUACUUAGGUGUGCAAAUUUCCAUAAUGGUAAAUGAAUUACUCUUGGGCGAUGGGAAUUUGAUUAUAACCGGAAUAACAAUCCAGAAAAUAGUGGUAAGAAUGAUUGGUGAGCGUUUUCAACAUCUAGUCGAUAAAAGGAAGAAGAAAGUGAUCCUUGUUGUAAUGUUAAGUUUGUUAUAAUCAAUGUAAACUCGUAACCUUGUAAAUGUUCGCUUUGGAAUGAGCUCGUUAUUUUCAUUUGGCAUCGCUAUAAUUUCCUUAAAUUGUUAGGCACUACGCGUACCGUAUUGACCUACGCACUAUCUGAGAUCAGAUAUAUAGUAAUGACAGCCAAUAAUUACAAUAUUUCUUCCACCAUCUCUUGCAUCUUUGAAUUCAACAAAUGUUGAUGCUCAAUUGAAACCUUGUAAUCAUCCUCCAUGAAAAUCUUAUGCAUACAUAGUGAAGGAUUGAUAACUAGUAUAGCCCACCAAAUAGCAAUUUUAUGAUACCUAAGCACCUCGGAUCAAUUUAUCUUCAUCUAUAUCACAAAGAGAGUUAGCAAUGAUAACUAGUAGUAUAGAUUCUCCCUAAGUAGGCAUAUCACAGAUGAUUUGACAAUUGCUUCAAGUCAAGGGUAUAGGUUAUAAAAUGGAUAUCCAGGGUUUUGUGGAAACCCUUGAUAAGUUCUAAAAAAUGUGGGUCCCUCUUCAACAGAGUGUGCCUUCAACAAUCGAACACAAUCUUCGAUUCCUUAAAUAAGAUAGUGUGGAUUGAGAAUAAACAAGGUAGACCUUGAACAGUUCUUAAAGCUGAUCAUGAUUGAAUAUGUCUGCUACAACCUUAUCCAUCACAUCAAUUUGAAAACAAUUGUCAGAUUUUGUUGGAUAAUAAAUAUGCUUGAAGACAUUAAUUACCACAUGCUCCUUAUUUAACCUCAAAAAAAGUUUAAUCUUUUGCACAUCAAUGAGAGGUCUACUAGUAUCCAUAAUUAGACAUCUCAAAAUGAAUGGAACAUCUUUAUCUUCUUUCAUGUCUAGGAUGAUAAUAUCAAUUGGAAAAAUAAACUCGUCAACUUUUACAAACUUAUCUUCAAUUAUUCCACGAUGGGUUUGAUUGACCUGUUGGCAAGUUGCAAUGCAACUGUUGUUGCCUUUGCUUUCUUAAACCUAGCUUCCUAGACAUAGAAGAGGCAUUAAGUUAAUGCAAGUACCAAGAUGUACAAAGCUUUAUCAAAGUAGUUAUCUUAAUAGUACAAGGAAUAAUGAAACUCCUUGGAUCUUUUAAGCUGUGGAGGUAGCUUAUUUUGCAAUAUAACACUUCUUUCAUUUGCCAACACCAUCGUCUUAUUAGUUUCCAACUUCCUUUUGUUUGAUAAGAUGCCCUUCAUGAAUUUUACAGAGCUGGACAUUUGUGUUAAGGCGUCGACAAAUGGUAUGUUGAUGUUUAGCUUUUUAAGCACCUCCAAAACCUUAGCAAAUUGCUUGUCGAGCUUGUGUUUCUACAGCCUUUUAAGGGAAUGGUAUCGGAGGCACAUAUGCUCAAUGGGAAAGAUUUCCUUAACUUGUGAGGUGCCUGAAUUCUUUUCUAGAAUUACUUCUUUGUCAAUGGUAGCUAUCUUUUCAUGAGAAGCAACAUGCCUCUUGAUAUGAAUCUCUACAACUUAACUCCACUUCUUGUAGUGGUAGCCUUCACAUGUUCUUUAGGGUUGGUUUUAGUAUUAUUUAGUAAAGUGCCAUGUAUCAUUUUUGAUAGUGCGGUUUCCAUGUGUCCUACUUGAGUCAUGGAUUCUUUAUAGAUGACUGUUGGUGCUGCAAUGUGUUGUUAGCUUUUGUGAUAUACUGAGUGAUUAUUUCUUCCAACGAAGGCUUUUUCUCAUGCUGAUGCUAGAACUUUGGUAGUUUGCAUAGAUUGUGAUUUCCUUGAAGCUAAUGGCAUAGGAUGCUAUGGAACAAUUAUAGGAGAAGGGGAAAGGGGAAAGGAAGGAGGAAAAGAAGUGAGAAGGGGAAAAAGAGAGGAAAGGGAAAGAAUAGAGAGAAAUUGGCGAAGAAUAUCAGUUUAUUUUAUCAUCAAAAUUGUCCGUAUUACAUUGCAUAAGACCCUUUUGAAUAAGGUUUCAAAGAUCCUAUUCUGAGUAGGAAACAUAUAAUAAAAGAUAUUAAAUCAAACCCUUAAUUAUGUUUCCUAAAAUAAAUACCAAAAUUGGGAAGUAAAUAUAUAAUUCUCUUAUAAUUUUCCAUCACCUAAUUGUUGUUCGUCAAGAAGUUGGGAAGUUUGUCCAAAUUGCAUUAUGAAAGUUGUAGGGAUUAUUCUAUGCCAACAAGAAAGUUUUUUCGUAGCUAACUUCCUCAGAAUUUGAUGUGAAAGUAGUGGCCAAAGGAUAAUUAGAUGUGUAAUGAUUUACUCUAUAGCCCUCAUAAAUCAAAAUAAGAUUGUGCACCAUGUACAUUGAGUAAGGCUAUUCAUCUUCUUCGUCAGAGCUUCCAUCUGAGCAAAUAAUACCGAAGUUGCAUCAAGACAUGAAUUAACUGCAAAUUGACUGACUUGAAGCAACUUUGCAUUGAAGUAUUAGACCUGAAGUCCUUUACUGAUGUCAUGAUUCAAGCACUUCAGCAGUAGCUCAUCAAAUCUCUUACACUUCAUGAAAGAUCUUCAAGUCAAGUUGCCUAAAUAUGGAUAUGUCAUGCUUCAGUUUGGCAACUUUAGUGGUGAAAAUUACUUCUUGUUGAACUUUUCAACCAAAUAUUUCUAUCAACUACAAUUACAACCAGUUGAGGGGAUCAAACUUUAUUUUCUAUUAUUCUCUCUUCUUGCUCGUUAUCCCUUGCUCCUCUUUGUUCCUUUCUUCACUGUCUAAAAGUUCUCUCGAUCUCGAGAUCAAAUGGUGGUCAAGAUCUUUAAAAUUUUACACGUGUCGAUAUACAAGCACUUGAAAAUUAACACCAAAAAAAAAAAAAAGAAAAAGAAAACAAGAAUUCGAUUGUAAUCAAGAAUUAAUGAAAUUCAAACUAAAUAUAUAAAAUUCUCGAUAAUAACACCAAAACUUGUUCGAUGGAAAUCUUGCAAGUGUAUAAGUUCAUUGACAAGUAAUUGUUAAAACUGAGUAAAAAGCAUCAUUCCUAUGAGAAUUUUAUCUAACAAUCUCUUUUGAGUAAAAUUAAACUUAUUUUAGAAAUUAUAUUCACUAGCCAGAUUAUUCAUAUGUUGCAUAAAAUAUAGACAAUUAAUUCUAACAUAUAUGGGACCUUAUGUUGAUUGUCAAGUAUGAGUUGUACUUGCAUUGAAUCUCCUGAAAACAAGAUAAGCCUAAAAUACGUUUAAAAGUUGAUCAUUCAUUAAAAUGAAAAUCUAAACUUUGACAUCAAUCAGUCGACACAAGUUGACAAUAAAACGCAGUUUCGAUUAAAACGUCAACUAAUGAUUCAAGUAUUUAGCCUAUCAUGCUAAUAAUAUAAAACAUAUAAUUAAUUGUAUAAAUCACCCAAAAUAUUAAAUUGCAAAGAGAAGGAUGAAAAUGAAUUUUUGUCUCCUUUUAAUUUCAUCAAUGGAUUCUUUAGUAAAUCACUAUCUUCUUGCUUGAAAUCUUCAAUUCUCGAGCCACAAAUUUUGAAAGUAUGAUGUGCUUGUGUAUUAUUUCUAUGUUGCUCUCUUCUCUAAGUUUCGAGACUAACAAUGUAAUCGUAUAGUAGGGCAACUUGCGAGGGCAUGUUUAUGUGUAUGUACUUGUAGGAUCUGCAAGUUCGUGCCUUGCGUUCAUAUGGGUGUUUCCUACACGAUUGCAAGGCACCUACUUUUGCCCAAGUUUAUCUUGGUACCUGGAUUCACUUGUUCUUGCAGCUCAAGUCCCUUCCUUAAUUGUAUUUUUGGCCUUGUAUCUUUCAGUCUCAACAAUUUGAUCCCCAUCUUCUAUAGUUUGUUCGGUUUAGGUCCAUUUUGAUUCGCUUUUUGCUCCUUUUCUCCAUAAAUCAUUCAACAUAUAGAGUUUCUCCUAAAACAAUCAAUGUACAAAGAAAAUUUAGUGUAAAUUCAAUAAAAGCACUCCCAAACAUCUGCUUUUGAUGGCCCAAACAAGUAUAGAAUUACAAUUAUUACCCGUGUAAAUGAAUUGUGCAUGUGUUAGGCUUUUAUGGAAAAUUAGAAAGAAAAAUCUGCUUACACGUGAAUUGGCGUGCCGAAGAAAAUAUUUGAGUAAUAUACAUUUAACCCUAUCUAAUAGGUUGAGUUUUUAAAUCAGGUGGUUCAACGUAAGUGAUUAUAAUAUAUUUUCAUAAAAUAAUAUUCAAAUAACAUUUUGUGCUGCACUUGUUUUUUCUUUUAGAAUUGCCAUGUUGCAUCUUGCGUUUUCUAUUUCCAUGCAACCUACUUGCUACUCUUCAUUAAUAACAAGAGAUGAACGUGGAAUAGAAGCAUUGUCAUAUUUUCCAUUGGUACUUGAAUAGUUACUUUGAUUUAUCUUUACCAUAAUAAAAACAUCUUUUUGAAGCCCACAUGUUGGAAAGGAUAUGAUACCCCAUAUAGGAUUUAUCCCCUGUUUGGCCCCCAUUUUUUGAAAAUGAAAUGCGUGGAAUACUUUUUUUUUUUUUUUUUUUUUUGUUGAAAAAUGAGUGGUUAAAAAAGAAGGAAAAUUUUUCGAUUUACGUAUAAUAUUAUUUUAUGGAAGAUUGUGAGGUUGAAAAUAGGAGAAAAAAAUAGAAUGUAAUGGAAUUGAAAUUAAUGGAGGCCAAACAGGGGCUUAGUAUUACAAGCCAUGUACCUGAUAUGUAGAUUCCUAUGGGCUGUGGCUCUAGUACAAGAAAAUUUUUUGCCUCUUGGUAUAAGCUUCUUUGAAUUAUUCCAGGGUAUGUAAAUAAACUCUAUAAUUAAAUUGUUGAUUAAUCAGGCCUUGAGUUUGCUCCCCAAUGUUACCUGUUCGAGUUCUCUCAGGGCCAUUGAGGUGAAUAUCCAUUGUAAACUUUAGGGUCCAGUGGAAUUAGUCGGGGUGCUCUUAAGCUGGCCUGACACCCAUGAUCAUCAGAAAAAAAUAGAGAUAGCUACCACUUUUAUGGACGUGGUUACUUUUAUCCUUUGUCUUUGGCCAUUUCAGCACUUUUUCUCAUCAAAAUUACUCAUAGGGCAUCUGUAGAAAUAUAGCGCUUGUUUGAGAUUUAUUGCAAAAACCCAUUUCCAUUUCAAAUUUAGGGACCUUAUUCUUUGUAUAUGUUGGGAAAGGAGGAAAUGUAUUUGACUUAUCCAUCAUGAACUUUAAUUUUUCAUUCUUUCAUUCAAAAUUUAAACACCCCCCCAACCCACAAUUAUUCUUUGAAAAAUAAGUGCUAGCAUGAAGUGAGGGUUAAAUGGGAAAAUUGAAUUUCAAUGGGUCAUUGGUUCUUUUCUUCAUUCUGUCCAAUGUCCUUUGUACCAUGAAUUUUUAAAUAUUAAAAUAGUAUCCCAAAAUGUUAUUUCUCAUUAAAAUGUGAUUUUAAUGAGCUUCAAACAGGCACAUAAUGACAUGGAUUGCAAAGCACAGCAUUGUUGAUUGCUGUUAUUACAAUUGGAAAGGACUUCAUCAACUCGCAACUUGCCAGAGUUUUAUCUAUUUUUAGAACAUUGAACAUAAAUAGUGAUCACCAAUUUGAUUUCGAACAAGUUCAUCCCAGAAUAAGGUGUGCAAACAUGAAAAUAUGCUAAAACAAGGAGGAAGAUUACAUGCUAAUUGAAGUCACUUAUUCGUAAUCAUGGUUCUGGAAUUACCAGAAAGAAGCUCUUCAUGGUUACUCACAUUACAUAGCUAUAAAUAAAGAAGGAAAACUAUGAUCAUACUAAUAUAGAGGUGUUUGUUAAUAAUCAUCCCAAGAUGGAGUCAAAUUUAAAUCUUGUAUUCUUGCAGUUCAAUUUGCUUCUCAUAUUUUAACUUUUAGGUUACACAAUUUCCUGAAGCCGCUUUCAUUGAAUCUGAUCAUAGCCCUGCAAGCUCUGAUGAACUUUAGCUUUCUGUGCUCAUCUUCUAGAUAGAUGAACUUUGAACAUUAUACUUGUUAGAUUUCUAUAUGUAAAUAAAUGGUGAAAUUUUUGUGAGAUAUGUUCAUAUCAGGUGCAAAUGUCUGAUGGAGCACCAUGAAAAGGAAGUUGGUUGUUUUUCUGUUUUUUGAAUGAACCUCAUCCUCUUUUCUCUUUUAUAAUAUGUUUUCUUUCUCUACGUAUAUGUUCAUGGAGAGGAGAAAUCUUAGAACUGCAAUUGUGAAGAUCAUCUUGAAUGCCUCCAUUAGUUUUCUCCUUCUUUCACAUCUUCAAACUACUUGUAAAGGGCAAGUAUUGAUAAGAGUUAAUUUUGUCAACUUAGGCUAAAGUACUGGUCCAUAACACAUAUUUUAGGUUCAUAUAUCAUAUAAAUGAUUAUCAACGUCUCGUAAGUCGUUCUUCUGUGUUUUACGGGUUGUAUCUCUUUUGAAAUCUCUACUUGUGAUACCUAAAUUAUCUUGAGUUAAUACAUCCAAAUAAUUUUAGAACUUAAAAGAAAAUAAUGCUAGAACUUCUCCACCUUAUUUAUAUGUCCAGUUAAUCUAGAACUAUGAAUCCACAAGGAGUUGGAGCUUUUCAAUUAAUUAAGGAGAACUUCCAGUGUUAUAAGGAACCAAAGCUCGUGAGGAAUUUUGACAGUUAUAACUAUAAUUUACCUGCUCAAGUGUCAUCAUUUUUUGAAUUUACAAUACUUUUACAUUAUCUUUUUUUCGAUGUUUUUACUUUUCAAUAAGAAAAUAUAAACCUUAAGUAACUGAGGAAUUUGAUUAACCUUGUUCCAUUUAACCUUAUAUGUUAAACAUGUGUUUAUUAAUAUUUCUAACAAUUUUUGAUGUAUGGACAUAUGCUUUUUACUUAUAUGCACUUGAAUUUCCAACAUGACCUAAUAAGUAAUCAGUUUAUUUCUUUUUCUUUUAUUCAUUUUAUUUAAGCUCAUUGCCAUCUGCUUAUAUAUGUUUCAUUCCUCUCUUUCAGCACAGCAAGGAACUUGAGCCAUCAACUGGAUAAUCAUACUAUUGUUCCUGUAAUUCAACUACGACCAUUCUAUAUAUUUGCCAUUCUUGUUUCUAGCUGACCAAGCUCUGACUUGCCUUCAUAUUGCAUCCUUUUUCUGUGUAAGAUCCUAGUCCUAUUAUUAUUCAGUUAUCAGUUUCCUUUUCUUUUUUUUCUUUUUUUUUUCUUUUUUUAAUAUAAUAUAUCCUGAUGUCUUUAAAUUACUAUUAUUACUAAAUCUGAGUAAAUAAUCACAUCUUUAUCUUCUUGGAUCGAUGCUUAUCUUCUUGUGCCAUUCAUUUUUUCUCUGGGUUUAAUUAUGUUGGAAGCAUCUGCCCGGAACAGUGAAUCUGAAUGGUUAUGUUGCAACCAAUGAGUACUAUUCUCUUAAGGGACUUUAAGGUCUUGACACUUCACUAUUAAGCUGUACUUUUAAAUGCAGUAUUCUCACUGCAAAUGUUGGUUAAAUGCGUUAAUUGUUGUUCAUUUAUCUAAGGAGAAAUCAAUUUUAAUGAUCAAGUUGCCAGAGGCAAUAUUUUUUUUUCAUUUUCUUUUCCCCUGCUUUUUGUAUGAGAAGCUGCUGAACUGAUGUUUUCUAUCAUAGUUCAGCAUAUCAACUGUCUCCUCCAAAUUGCUUUGACAUUUAGAUUUUUGCAAAAUUAGUUUGUUCUUACUAGCAUGUAACUCGAUUUUCAAAAUGGAAUACAACAAAUGUAUUACGUUUAUGAAUUUAGUUUUGCUUUGUUCUUACAGUAUUACUGCAGGUUAGGCUAAUGUCUAUUUAUUUGAAAUUCUCAAAGUCUUUAGAUUCUUUCCCUCUCUCCCAAGUUUAACUAACUGAUGGUUUUAUUGAACCCAUUUCCGCCCAAACAAUAAAAAAUUAGACCUACUUGUUUUUGGCCCACAGUUACUUAUAUAGUUGACACAAAAAAAUUUCAAUGUAGUGAAUGUUAUCUGAAAUAGACACUUUUGAUUGAUGGCUUAAAUAAUGUAUAAAAUGUUUCCAAUGUGCCAGAUGAGCCCUAUUCACGAACUUUGCAGCUUGUGUCCUGAAUCUCAUAAAAUUGAAGUUUCCGAGGCCACCUGAUUAUCUUUAUAUUGUCAUAUCAUGUGUUCUUGUCAUGCUUUGAAACUGGUAAUUUCUUUAGAAACUAUAUGAAUUGCUUCACUUUUGAAUCAUAUUUUCUGUUAUGACAUUGCUCUUGACUGGCAUUUAUUUUUAUCUAGUAUCUGGUAGUAGUAUAUUUCUGUGUACGUAGUUCUUCCAAGCAAACUCAUCAAAUCAAACCCGGAGUUUAAAUAGAUAAAUAAGUAUUGGAACAUCCAGUAAGAUAUGAGACAUACAGUGCCAAACAUAUUCUUUUAUUUAUUAUCACAAUGACCUAGAAAGCUGUAUCUAGUUAGAUUUACCUCAUAUAAUGAAUUCGGCAACUGGGCAAUGCCAAAUAUUAAGCAUUUUUUCCUGAAUAGCUGUGGUUCUUAUACCACUUUUAGCAUUUAACGAAAAGCUGUAACAAUGGUGCCUUCACCAUUAACAGAUUACUUCACACCUUUGAAUAGUCUGCCUCUCUUUGUUAUUGCAUUUCUAGCCUGCUGCAUUUUUCCCACCAAAGCAAGUGUAGAAUCAAUAUAGUGUUGAAACUAUGUUUUUUAAAGUACUUU
rnacentral:lncRNA from 1 species